AGUGAACGCUGGCGGUAGGCCUAACACAUGCAAGUCGAACGGCAGCACAGUAAGAGCUUGCUCUUACGGGUGUCGAGUGGCGGACGGGUGAGGAAUACAUCGGAAUCUACUUUUUCGUGGGGGAUAACGUAGGGUAACUUACGCUAAUACCGCAUACGACCUACGGGUGAAAGCAGGGGAUCUUAGGACCUUGCGCGAUUGGAUGAGCCGAUGUUGGAUUAGCUAGUUGGCGGGGUAAAGGCCUACCAAGGCGACGAUCCGUAGCUGGUUUGAGAGGAUGAUCAGCCACACUGGGACUGAGACACGGCCCAGAUGCCUACGGGAGGAAGCAGUGGGGAAUCUUAGACAAUGGGGGCAACCCUGAUCUAGCCAUGCCGCGUGAGUGAUGAAGGCCUUAGGGUUGUAAAGCUCUUUCAGCUGGGAAGAUAAUGACGGUAGCAGAAGAAGAAGCCACGGCUAACUCCGUG
rnacentral:rRNA from 1 species